rnacentral:rRNA from 1 species
UACGUAGGGGGCAAGCGUUGUCCGGAAUCAUUGGGCGUAAAGCGCGUGUAGGCGGCUCAGUAAGUCCGCUCUGAAAGCCCGGGGCUUAACCCCGGGAGGCGGGUGGAUACUGCUGAGCUUGAGUCCGGAAGAGGCGAGUGGAAUUCCCGGUGUGAGCGGUGAAAUGCGCAGAUAUCGGGAGGAACACCAAUGGCGAAGGCAGCUCGCUGGGACGUGACUGACGCUGAGACGCGAAAGCGUGGGGGAGCAAACAGGGAUUAAGAAAACCC